rnacentral:tRNA from 2 species
GGGGCGUUAGCUCAGUUGGUAGAGCAGUUGACUUUUAAUCAAUUGGUCGCAGGUUCGAAUCCUGCACG